GGAGGGAGAAAGAAGGAAGAUGGAGGAAGAGAAGGACGACCCAGAUCUGUGUGGCUUUAAAUGGACACAGAAUUUGUCAUUCAAUUUGAAAGCAUUGUGAUGAGGAAAUGUAGUCCAUAAAUUACUGAUAAGAACCUUCUCUACUUACGAUGUGGGAGUGCCAGUGGAAUUGCCUGGAGACUGAAUAGUGUACAAUAUAAUAAGGGAAGGACAAGAAAAUUCAACCACAGUAAAGUACAAAAGUUGUAAGUCAUGUGCGAAUACACAUUGAGAAGACACAUGGGAGGCUUCUGUGACAACAACUACCCAGAUCCUCACCCCCAUCCCCCCCAAAGCAACAGCCUAAAUAGGAAGCCAUUAAAGAGAAAUUUUAAAAAGUG